CAGUCGCCGCGGUAAUACGAGGGGUGCAAGCGUUAUUCGGAUUGAUUGGGUGUAAAGGGUGUGCAGACGGCUUAUUAAGUCACUUGUUAAAUUCUCCGGCCUAACUGAAGGUCUGCAAGUGAUACUGAUGAGCUAGAGGGUGGAAGAGAGAAGUGGAAUUCUCGGAGUAGCGGUAAAAUGCGUAGAUCUCGAGAGGAACACCAACGGCGAAAGCACACUGCUGGGCCGACACUGACACUGAGAGACGAAAGCUAGGGGAGCAAAUGGGAUUAGAUACCCCGGUAGUCCCUGUCUCUUAUAC
rnacentral:rRNA from 1 species